GUGCUUUCUUAAGUUGCAAUUCAUUUGUAAGCUGCAGGCGCGCGCACCCAGACACGCUCUCUUCCGGCAAAAUAUCUAUAGAAGAAUCAAUGGGGGGGGAGGAGAGACAAAUGGAACUUUGAGCGAGAGAGCAAGCGGCCGUAAGCGCCGAAGAACAGAAGGACCUUCUCUGAAAAGUACUGAAGGUGCUAGCGAUGCAAAAGGAGAGGGAGGGGCAAGGGGCCUGAGUUUUAAGCCAUAUUGGGACUGUGUAACACUUUCCAGCCUGACAGGAGCUGAAGGGAAAAGGUUCUGGAGUUUAGAACUUGAAGCCAGUCGGCCAACAACUCUAGAUUGAAAGAAUAUGUGCCUCCAUACCAGCGGUGAAAUCCUCUGAAGUCUGCUACCAAUUCUGUGAAUCUGUGAAUCUGCUACUGAGCGCACGCUUUGCGCGCACAUGCGCACGAGGCAUGCCCACGCAGCACUAAAAAAGGAAUAUUUUGAAGCCUUCCGAGUCUGCAAAGGCAGGCCUCUCCAUUCGAGCUGCUGGCAGGAAAGGUACCUCCCCACCUCCUCUCAAUGGUCACUGCCUCUGCAGUGACUUUUUUUUAACAAGUGGAACAAUGAAAAAGUGGGCUUUUCUUGUUUUGUACAAGUUCACGGAUGGAACAGGUAAAGGAUGGACUUUUUUUAAAAAAAGGGACAGAGUUUUGACAGGAAAAAAAAGGUAAAACAGAAAUCUUUUUAUCCUUUUCUUUUUAACCUUCUAGGAGAAGAAUGUUUUAAAAAACAGGAGCUGCAGUAAUGGCAGCCUGAAGGCUGUUUGGAAGAGAGAACAUCAGGCCUUCACCUUGGCCAAAGCUGAGGCAGAGUUUGAAAUCCAGAAGGGGUUUCUUAAGCCAACUUCAUUUUCAGCCAGUUUAUGCAUGGGAGACAAGCAGCUUAAGGCUGCAGUGCGGAAAAGCCUUAAUACCAAAAUUCUUGACACUCCUGGCACUCAACAGUUGUGAAAAAUUGUUCAGUCUCUAACCAUAGAGCAGCUUUUCUCAGAUCUCUGCAGCAGACUGAAGCUAUA